CAACGCGCAGAACCUUACCAACCCUUGACAUUACAGGACCGGCCCAGAGAUGGGUCUUUCACUUCGGUGACCUGUGGACAGGUGCUGCAUGGCUGUCGUCAGCUCGUGUCGUGAGAUGUUCGGUUAAGUCCGGCAACGAGCGCAACCCACGUCCCCAGUUGCCAGCAUUCAGUUGGGCACUCUGUGGAAACUGCCGAUGAUAAGUCGGAGGAAGGUGUGGAUGACGUCAAGUCCUCAUGGCCCUUACGGGUUGGGCUACACACGUGCUACAAUGGUGGUGACAGUGGGUUAAUCCCCAAAAGCCAUCUCAGUUCGGAUUGUCCUCUGCAACUCGAGGGCAUGAAGUUGGAAUCGCUAGUAAUCGCGGAACAGCAUGCCGCGGUGAAUACGUUCCCGGGCCUUGUACACACCGCCCGUCACACCAUGGGAAUUGGUUCUACCCGACGACGCUGCGCUAACCUUCGGGAGGCAGGCGGCCACGGUAGGAUCAGUGACUGGGGUGAAGUCGUAACAAGGUAGGCGUAGUGCU
rnacentral:rRNA from 1 species